CCCUCGCCUUUAGUUGCCAGCAUGUUUGGGUGGGCACUCUAAAGGAACUGCCGGUGACAAGCCGGAGGAAGGUGGGGAUGACGUCAAGUCCUCAUGGCCCUUAUGUCCUGGGCUACACACGUGCUACAAUGGCGGUGACAGUGGGAAGCCAGGCAGCGAUGCCGAGCUGAUCUCCAAAAGCCGUCUCAGUUCGGAUUGCACUCUGCAACUCGGGUGCAUGAAGGUGGAAUCGCUAGUAAUCGUGGAUCAGCAUGCCACGGUGAAUACGUUCCCGGGCCUUGUACACACCGCCCGU
rnacentral:rRNA from 1 species